GGUCCAACUGCAGCUUGCAGCAGUCGCUCACGCCAGUCCCCCCUGCUCACGCCGCGCCCACUCACGCCGCGCCCCCGCUGGCACGCAACUUCCGACUUUCAGACAUGUACGGUUUGUUUACAAGACGCAGAUGGACCAUAUUGCCAUAUUGAGUCAUGGCGGCAACAACUCCCGGGAAGCACCUGUGACUUAGCUCAUCACAUUGCUCUGGGCCAGUGGACAACUAAAUUUGGCAAAGACAUUGAGGUGCAUCUCUCCAACAACUUAUGUACCUGGAUGCACAUGUCUAUAUUUCUGAUUUGACCCAAAAACUUUUAUAUUGCUUAUUUAACACUUUGCCCAAUUGUUGCAGGGUUUCCCUCAUCAAACUACUGUAAAUUCUUGUGGCAUCUUAAUGUUGAUGACAAAUAGUGAUUUGUGACUGAACAUGAACAUUCCUCCUCAACUUAAAUAUUCUGGCACGCAUCCGAAAAUGGUGGUGCAUUAGUCUAAUGGAACAGUUCCAGAUUGACGGCCAUGGACAGAGGUUUGCAUACUGGACUAAUGAGGCCAGAGCAUUGCUCCAAGGUUCACUGCAGCCGAUAUACAGGGUCCCAAAGGUCAGCAAGAGGGAACAUGAGGUUUCGAUUAGAAAAGGAUGACAGGUGCAUCAUAUUGGAGGUAAUGUUUACUUACUGCUUACACUUUUUACUGGCUAUAUUAGCCAAUAAACAUGGCACAACACCUCCCUUUAUCCUUGCACUAUUGGACUUAUUUGCACUACCACCAUGACACACACUAUAGAGCACCUUAUGCACAAUAAUUGCCCUGUCACUGCAAGAGUCUCAUGCUUAUACAUCCCUUAGUACAGUCAUAUCAAUAUCAGGGCAAUGCGUUAUGAUAGAUGUUCUCACCAAUAAUUGUUAAUUUUCAUAUUUCUGCUAUGCUAUGAUUGUUGCCAUUUGUACAGGCAAUAGUGUAGUCAGUGUGUUGUCUUUACUAUGCUUGAUUUUGCCUGACCUGUAUUUUACAGUUACUAACAUGUGUGCUU